GAAUUCGCCCUUAGAGUUUCCUUCUGGCUCAGGACGAACGCUGGCGGCGCGCCUAACACAUGCAAGUCGAACGAGCGGAGGACCUUCGGGUCCUUAGCUAGUGGCGGACGGGUGAGUAACACGUGAGGAACCUGCCUUUCAGAGAGGGAUACCGUUUGGAAACGAACGUUAAUACCUCAUAACGUAUGAUGAUCGCAUGGUCAACAUACCAAAGAUUUAUCGCUGAGAGAUGGCCUCGCGUCUGAUUAGAUAGUUGGUGAGGUAACGGCCCACCAAGUCUGCGAUCAGUAGCCGGACUGAGAGGUUGAUCGGCCACAUUGGGACUGAGACACGGCCCAGACUCCUACGGGAGGCAGCAGUGGGGGAUAUUGCACAAUGGGCGAAAGCCUGAUGCAGCGACGCCGCGUGAGGGAAGACGGUUUUCGGAUUGUAAACCUCUGUCUUCGGGGACGAAAAUUGACGGUACCCGAGGAGGACGCCACGGGUUAACUACCUGCCAGCAGCCGCGGGAAUACGUAGGUGGCAAGCGUUGUCCGGAAUUACUGGGUGUAAAGGGAGAGUAGUCGGGAUUGCAACUCCGUUGUUAAAUCCAUCGGCUCAACCGGUGGCUGCGGCGGAAACUGUAGUUCUUGAGUGAAGUAGAGGCAGGCGGAAUUCCUAGUGUAGCGGUGAAAUGUGUAGAUAUUAGGAGGAACACCAGUGGCGAAGGCGGCCUGCUGGGCUUUAACUGACGCUGAGGCUCGAAAGUGCGGGGAGCAAACAGGAUUAGAUACCCUGGUAGUCCACACUGUAAACGAUGAAUGCUAGG
rnacentral:rRNA from 1 species